AUUACAUUGUGGAAGAUAAUUUCAAAUAUGAAAAAUAAUCAAAUAUUUUUUAAAAUCAACAAAUACCCAAUAUCUAAUUGCUGCCAGAAAAUUGGGCUCGUGUGUUGGCCAGCGCCGUUUCUAAUUAAGCAGCACUCGUUGUUGGCUGAUUUGGACAUGGGCAGCGCACGCACUGGACGACAAAUGUGCUAGUAAACAGCCUAAGCUGCCGGAGCAUUAGCCAACCAGGCAGCCGGGCAGCGAGUCGGUCCAGCUUUGUACCACGCCGUUUCUGCUUAAUUGUUUGCGAAAUUCUUUUAGCCGCCUUUUGUUUGAUUUAAUUAAUUAUUUAAUUACGCUUGAAGUUGGCAAUUUUGCCGGGUUUUUUGCACUUGUCUCUGGCUUUGACUUUGUCCGAACACACACACACACACGUGCAC